rnacentral:rRNA from 1 species
CCUACGGGUGGCAGCAGUGAGGAAUAUUGGUCAAUGGGCGUAAGCCUGAACCAGCCAAGUCGCGUGAGGGAUGAAGGUUCUAUGGAUUGUAAACCUCUUUUAUAAGGGAAUAAAGUAUGGGACGUGUCCUAUUUUGUAUGUACCUUAUGAAUAAGGAUCGGCUAACUCCGUGCCAGCAGCCGCGGUAAUACGGAGGAUCCGAGCGUUAUCCGGAUUUAUUGGGUUUAAAGGGAGCGUAGAUGGGUUGUUAAGUCAGUUGUGAAAGUUUGCGGCUCAACCGUAAAAUUGCAAUUGAUACUGGCAGUCUUGAGUACAGUUGAGGUAGGCGGAAUUCGUGGUGUAGCGGUGAAAUGCUUAGAUAUCACGAAGAACUCCGAUUGCGAAGGCAGCUUACCAAACUGCCACUGACAUUGAUGCUCGAAAGUGUGGGUAUCAAACAGGAUUAGAUACCCGGGUAGUC